rnacentral:rRNA from 1 species
GACGAACGCUGGCGGCGUGCUUAACACAUGCAAGUCGAACGGGCCCGCUCUCUUUUUUGGGGGUGGGUUGAGUGGCGAACGGGUGAGUAUCACGUGAGUAACCUGCCCCCUGCUCCUGGAUAACUGCUUGAAAGGGCGGCUAAUACGGGGUGUGCCGGCUGGUCCGCAUGGGCCUGGUCGGGAUAGUUUCAUCUUCGGGUGUUUCGGUGGGGGAUGGGCUCGCGGCCUAUCAGCUUGUUGGUGGGGUGAUGGCCCACCAAGGCGGUGGCGGGUAGGCGGCCUGAGGGGGUGGGCGGCCGCGCGGGGACUGGGACACGGCCCAGACGCCUGCGGGAGGCAGCAGUGGGGGGUAUUGCACAAUGGGCGGAAGCCUGAUGCGGCGGCGUCGCGUGAGGGAUGGGGGCCUUCGGGGUGUGAGCCUCUUUCUCCGGUGGUGAAGGCCCUGUCCGUUGCGGCGGGGUUGACGGUAGCCGGGUAUGAAGCGCCGGCUAACUACGUG